UUGAAUCAUUCCUCUCUCUGGCUAUCUAGCUAAACAAAUAUACAGCUCAGAUAAAUUCUUCAAAUUCAUAAUUCUACAUAAUAUUUUAUCACAGCACUGGCGAACCAUGGUUGGCAAACUCCCUGACCAAAAUGGCAGAUCCCGUCAUAAAAAGGUUCAUUUCCAUUCUAGUAUUCUAAUGCGGUAAAUAGGUCAAUCGAACUCGACCAAAACAAUGGAAUUGCAAUGGAAACGCGUGGAGGAAACGCGUGGAGGAAACGUGGGGGAAAGAGCCAGUCUCCCCCCAGCAAAGUGUGCCUACAUUUAGGCUAUUGUUUAUAUGAGUAUGUCACACUAUGUUGAGGUAAAAAUCUGAGUCACAUGUUCAUGUCAUCUCACCAAUCAACUGCAUUAGUUAAAAACGGUUUUGACUACCACCACCGAUUUUUGUAUGCUAGCUAUGCUAACCGUUUAUACAAACGGGAGUUAGCGUUUAGCAGUCACUUCUUCUAAACCUGAAAAAAGGGACAACCUAGCGAAAACUGCCAAAUAUAUCAAAAUCAGACUUAAGUAACCACAUUGUAGGCCUGUUACAAUACAUAAAUAAUGAUGGAUUUGAGGAAUAUCCACUUUGUUAGAUCAGAUUUAUUGAAUGUGCACCAAUCUGGUCAACAGAACGGCCUGCGCCUCUGUGACUCCUUUACCCCAUGUGUCACAAAAUUCUUUAAAGAACGCUCACUUCAAGAAAGUUCCAUGAAACUCUUAGUUCUAGAACGACACACUCAAUAAUUGUAACUUUUGCUGCAGCAACAUUAUUUCCUUCAAAUUGGUGGCGCAUGCGGUUGCUGAGCAACAGGCGUCUCACCUACACUUUGACCAGACCAACAUUAACCAGCAGAAAGUGCCAAAAUUCUUUCUCUGAGGCAUUCUCUACUGGCAUGGAUCGGUGCACAAACACAAAGGCAGGGGAAUAUUCAAAACAUUCACAGCAAAACACCAACUCCUCUUUCUCACACACACACACACACACACACGCUGAGCUGGAGGAGUGGCCAAUGUAAUCUCUCUCAUGAGCUGCGAUCAAAUGACAGGUUCGCAACAUUUUAGAAGACACAUACAUUUACAAAACAUAACAUACAAAACAUUGCAAUAUUGCAUGUUCUUGUGUAAUAUAGUGAGUGGGUGUGCCAAGUGUGUUUAGCCUAUACGUGUUGCGAACAGACUAGAGUUGAUGAAGCAACUAAACUAUUGAAAAGCUACCGUUAUAAAAUGCAAGCAAUUAAUUUAGACUGCUACAGCCUUUCUCUGCUGACGGCGAAAGAGGACGUUCUGAACCCACGUUCAUAAUUGAGGCUGCCCUAAGGAAUGCAUUCCAGGGACACAGACAGAAAAGGUCCCCAUUGUAUUAAGCUUGAUCUGGAUUACAGGUGAUCCACACACAUACACACACCACAUCCAUAAUCCUCAUACCCAGCUCCCUUCUGCAUUUGCCCCUUCUAGGGUGGACCAUUCUGGGAUUAAGUGGUGGGGUGGCACAGGCCCCUGGCUGGCUUGGCUGUAGUCAAUUGCUCAUCAAAAAGGGGCAUUGUUUGCAUCUGAUGGCAUCACAAACAACCUCAAGCUGUCGGAUUCUGGGGCAGGUGAUGUGUCUGACCUGGCAGGAAGGUUCCAUCCCAGACGUCCCCUCUGCAGGCUCUGAAGGGUGGGGGACGAGGUGGAUGAGUUUCGACAGGGGGAGUGUGCCAGCCAUGUUCCUGCCAUCAGGGCUUUCUUCAAGAGAGAUGUUUGUUUCUGUCGGCGCAAUGGGUGAAGAAACCGGGUGGCUGUACCGACUCUGACAACGUAUCCCGAGUGAGCCAUGUUUCCGUGAAACAGAGAAUGUUACAAUCUCUGGUGUCUCUCUGGAAGGAAACUCGUGCCGUAAUUUCAUCCACUUUGUUAUCUAAUGAUUGGACAUUGGCGAGUAAUAUGCUAGGAAGCGAUGGAUGGUGUGCUCGUCUUCUGAGUCUGACCAGUAGGCUGCUCCGUCUGCCUCUCCUGUGGCGACCACGUUGUUUUGGGUCGGCCUCUGGGAUAAGAUCGCAUGUCCAGGGUGGAGGUCCGAACAAAGGAUUCGCUUCGGGAAAGACGUAUUCCUGGUCGUAAUGAUGGUAAGUUGACAUCACUUUUAUAUCCAAUAGUGCUUCCCGACUAUAUAUAAUAACACUUGAGAUUUUCUGGGCUAACAAUGUAAGAUAUUGUACAUAAAAAAAACAUAAUAACUGCAUAGUUUUCUUAGGACCUGAAGCGAGGUGACCAUCUCAGUCUCACUCUCUCUCUCUUCCUCAGGAGGCCCAUGUGUUCCUCAGUACAGGUUCUACAGAGGAGAGGGUCCUGGCAGUUGUCAGUGAAGCCAGCCAGCAGACUGACACAUCCAGAAGACCAUCUAGAGAUGAAGAGAUAGAGGAGACUGAGCGAUAGAGGAGGAGAGGAGAGAGGAGGAAUGCAGAAUGGCAGCAGAGGAGAGGAAGCACAGGGAGAGAGAGAGGAUACAGCAAGAGAGGAGGGAUGUGGAAGAGAGGGAAAGGAGGAUGAAAGAGAAAAAGGAAAGGAUACAGGAGCAGGUACAGGAAAUUACAAACCCAGAUUGAAGCAGAGACUCACAAACAAGAAAGACUAAGAUGGGAGGCAGCAGCGCUCAUGUCUCAACACUACAAACCCUAGGGAGUUUUUCAAGCACUCUUCCGAUUCCUCAAGAUCUCUUCCUCUUGCACAGUGAGGCCUACAUUCAGACGAUACCAACGGACCCUAACAGACAACUCUUUCAUAUUCAGGAAGUCAGAACCCUCCACUCCCACCUUCCCCCAUAGCCCAACAAUGGUCUGUUCUUUCAGCCAGAAACCCAGUCACCCCCGUAGUCCAACAAUGGUCUCUCCCAGCUCUUCUUCCAAAUCCUCUAAUUCCAUCCAUCCGCAACAACCAUCUUGUGUGGAGCCUAAAAUUCCCCUCUCCAUGUCCUCUCAGGCCCCUUCCCCUCCCCAAACCCCCUUCUUCACACCU